GAUGAACGCUGGCGGCGUGCUUAACACAUGCAAGUCGAACGGACAGGCCCUGCUUUUGCGGGGCUCUCGAGUGGCGAACGGGGGAGUAACACGUGUGUAAACUGUACUUGUCUUUGGGAUAACUCUACGAAACUGGGGCUAAUACAGGAUAGGAGAUACUGCUGCACGGUGGGCGAUGGAAAGUUUCGGCGGUUGGGGAUGGACUCGCGGGUUAUCAGCUUGUUGGUGGGGUAGUGGCUUACCAAGGCUUUGAAGGGUAGCCGGCCUGAGAGGGUGGCCGGCCACAUGGGAACUAAGAUACGGCGCAGUAGGGUAUCGGACGCAGCAGGCGGAAAUAUUGCGGAACGGCCCCGAGCCUGUUGCAGAAGCGCCGCGUUCGGGAAAACCUGUUUUGGGUGAUAAACAGCUUUCUCCGGGGCCGAAGAGUGAGUGACGGUAAUGGGUAAAGAAGCAACGGCUAACUACGUG
rnacentral:rRNA from 1 species